AACGAACGCUGGCGGCAUGCCUAACACAUGCAAGUCGAACGAGACCUUCGGGUCUAGUGGCGCACGGGUGCGUAACGCGUGGGAACCUGCCCUUAGGUUCGGAAUAACUCCCCGAAAGGGGUGCUAAUACCGGAUAAUGUCUUCGGACCAAAGAUUUAUCGCCUUUGGAUGGGCCCGCGUUGGAUUAGCUAGUUGGUAGGGUAAAAGCCUACCAAGGCGACGAUCCAUAGCUGGCCUGAGAGGAUGAUCAGCCACACUGGGACUGAGACACGGCCCAGACUCCUACGGGAAGUAGCAGUGGGGAAUAUUGGACAAUGGGCGAAAGCCUGAUCCAGCAAUGCCGCGUGAGUGAUGAAGGCCUUAGGGUUGUAAAGCUCUUUUACCCGGGAUGAUAAUGACAGUACCGGGAGAAUAAGCUCCGGCUAACUCCGUG
rnacentral:rRNA from 1 species